UACAGAGGUCUCAACCGUUGUUCGGAUUCAUUGGGCGUAAAGGGUGCGUAGGCGGCGGGGCAAGUCAGGUGUGAAAUCUCGGGGCUCAACCCCGAAACUGCACUUGAUACUGCCUUGCUCGAGUACUGGAGAGGAGACUGGAAUUUACGGUGUAGCGGUGAAAUGCGUAGAUAUCGUAAGGAAGACCAGUGGCGAAGGCGGGUCUCUGGACAGUUCCUGACGCUGAGGCACGAAGGUCAGGGGAGCAAACGGG
rnacentral:rRNA from 1 species